rnacentral:rRNA from 1 species
GCGGGAGGCAGCAGUGAGGAAUAUUGGUCAAUGGACGAGAGUCUGAACCAGCCAAGUAGCGUGCAGGAUGACGGCCCUAUGGGUUGUAAACUGCUUUUGUACGGGAAUAAAGUGACCUACGUGUAGGUUUUUGUAUGUACCGUAAGAAUAAGGACCGGCUAAUUCCGUGCCAGCAGCCGCGGUAAUACGGAAGGUCCGGGCGUUAUCCGGAUUUAUUGGGUUUAAAGGGAGCGUAGGCCGUGCUUUAAGCGUGUUGUGAAAUGUAGGCGCCCAACGUCUGCACUGCAGCGCGAACUGGAGCACUUGAGUACGCAGGAAGUAGGCGGAAUUCGUCGUGUAGCGGUGAAAUGCUUAGAUAUGACGAAGAACUCCGAUUGGGAAGCCAGCUUACUGUAGCGCCACUGACGCUGAUGCUCGAAAGCGUGGGUAUCGAACAGGAUUAGAUACCCUGGUA